AUUGAACGCUGGCGGCAGGCCUAACACAUGCAAGUCGAGCGAGACCUUCGGGUCUAGCGGCGGACGGGUUAGUAACGCGUGGGAACGUGCCCUUCUCUGCGGAAUAGCCACUGGAAACGGUGAGUAAUACCGCAUACGCCCUUCGGGGGAAAGAUUUAUCGGAGAAGGAUCGGCCCGCGUUAGAUUAGAUAGUUGGUGGGUAACGGCCUACCAAGUCUACGAUCUAUAGCUGGUUUUAGAGGAUGAUCAGCAACACUGGGACUGAGACACGGCCCAGACUCCUACGGGAGGCAGCAGUGGGGAAUCUUAGACAAUGGGCGCAAGCCUGAUCUAGCCAUGCCGCGUGUGUGAUGAAGGUCUUAGGAUCGUAAAGCACUUUCGCCAGGGAUGAUAAUGACAGUACCUGGUAAAGAAACCCCGGCUAACUCCGUG
rnacentral:rRNA from 1 species